rnacentral:rRNA from 1 species
ACCCCAACAGCUAGCUCACCCCUAUAAUUCCAACAAACAACAUUAAUACCCACGAAAGUAAUACCAACAGUGCAGCAAACCAUUUUACCACCCUAGUAUGGGAGACAGAAAAGAGACU